rnacentral:rRNA from 1 species
UACGAAGGGGGCGAGCGUUGUUCGGAUUUACUGGGCGUAAAGGGCGCGCAGGCGGCUUUGUUUGUCAGGCGUGAAAGCCCCGGGCUUAACCUGGGAACUGCGUUUGAUACGGCAGGGCUAGAGUUCGGGAGAGGAGAGUGGAAUUCCUGGUGUAGCGGUGAAAUGCGCAGAUAUCAGGAGGAACACCAAUUGCGAAGGCAGCUCGCUGGAACGUAACUGACGCUGAGACGCGAAAGCGUGGGGAGCAAACAGG